UCUCCCCAGGUGGUUCCCAUGUGCAGGCAAAGUUGAGCACCACUGCCUUCAAGCACUCGGUGAACCCAAAACUGGUCGUAAUUCAAACCAUGACUUCUCAUACUUGAGCAUGACCUCUAUAAAGAGCUUAAAUUCACGGCUCUUCCCAAACAAUCCAGCUCAAAAAUGGUGGUGUUCUGAAUGCAACCUCAUUGCAAUCCCUCCCUCCAGCCACUCUAUUCGCUCCAUGGAACCUGCGUUGUGUGUGUCCUGAUUGAUGGUAUUUCUCCUUCUUUCCUUGGGAGACAUGAGUCCUUUCUGCUGCCAGUAGAGCUCCCAGUACAUUUAUGGCUACACCUACAAUCAAUCUUUGAGUCUUCAGGGGACUCCGCUGUGACCCAUUUACUGAAGUGGAACAUACGUGAAGCUGUUUUAGAGAGAGCUCUGUCUCGUGGAAGAUACCAGCUUCAAGAUGACAGUA
rnacentral:lncRNA from 1 species